CGUUGCCUACGGGGCGCAGCAGUGAGGAAUAUUGGUCAAUGGGCGAGAGCCUGAACCAGCCACGUCGCGUGAAGGAUGACGGCCCUACGGGUUGUAAACUUCUUUUGUCAGGGAGCAAUUGGGUCCACGCGUGGGCUUAGCGAGAGUACCUGAAGAAAAAGCAUCGGCUAACUCCGAGCCAGCAGCCGCGGUAAUACGGAGGAUGCGAGCGUUAUCCGGGUUUAUUGGGUUUAAAGGGUGCGUAGGCGGAAUAUCAAGUCAGCGGUAAAAAUUCGGGGCUCAACCCC
rnacentral:rRNA from 1 species